GGGAUGGAGUUUUCUUUUCUUUCUUUCUUUUUGCCCUCUUUUUUUAGUCAAAACAGAGGAGGGCAUCCUUCUUGGAAAGGCGAGAGGGAAUGUCGAAGAUGGUGGUCUAAAGGGUGGCAACAUAAGGGGGUGGCAGGCAGUGGAGAGCAAUCGGCAGCUGUGACCAUCCAACAAGAAAGAAUAAAGCAAGGAAGCAGCUUAUUCAAGCGUUAGCUGCUUAUCGGUAACCAUGGUUUCCACGGACAGUCACCGGAAGAUCAACGGAGCUCAGCUGAGGGCUCAUCAACAGGAAGCAGUGCUGGCGAUGGCCGGAAAAAGGAAAAGGAUUCGACCAAAAAUAAGGGUAGAAAUAGGGGCUUUUUUCUUGGUUGCUUUCCAGCGAAUCGAGAGCAGUGAUGAUGAUCCAAAGCUUAGAGAAGGGGAAAGCAAAGAGAAGAAAGGUAGGGAUACCUCGUCUCCGGCAAGCAUUGUGGCCUAGAUUUAUGGCAAGCACAAAAAUAGGUCCGGAAAAUUGGUGGCAGAAAAGAGGGAGAAAAUGAGGCUAUGACCAUUAUUGGAGGAUCUUGAAGUAAGGGAGAGGCUCUAUUUAUAGAGGAGCCGUAGGGCUCUCAUGCCCCUAGGUCUCCCACUUCUAAAAACAAAACAGAGACAAAAUCUAUUACUAUACUACCUAGUCUCUUAUUUUACAAUAUAGCACAGAUAUACGUUUGUCAUACAUCUGUUCAUUUAUCUCGCAUUCUUUUAUAAUUCGUAUACACUAGGCUAGUGAUUAGGCAUCUUUUUCAUCAUGAUGUAUGAGUUAUUUGUCUAUUAUUGGCCUCAUGCCCUAAUUGCAAAUUGCACUUCCUAUCCUCUUAAACCCUAAAAGUCUCCAUUACAAAUAUAAUAGGGAUACCUGGUGUUGGGGGAAUAUAGUUUUCCCCCGGUAAUAUAGUAACCCCGCCACUGGAAAACCACAUGAUCGCCGACCCCGGACGACUGAGGUCGGCGUCCGACCUCAGAACCUCCGACCUGGAGAAUUCCCAACCUCGAAGAUUUGUCCUCAUCGACCACCUACUACGGCCGUACCACCUCAGAGGUCCGGCCGAGGGCCAUGUCCUGCCACUGCCCCGGCAUUUAUUACGCAUGACCUCUGCAAAUCUCCGGCUUACUCAACAAUUAAUGCGCACCGCCGGCUUACUCAACAAUUAAUGCGCACCGCCGGCUUACUCAACAAUUAAUGCGCAUGGCUCCUGUUGUCUACGGACUCAUGGCUCUCC
rnacentral:lncRNA from 1 species